GGAAAAUGAGAGUCUCAGGGAGCUGGGAAGUGAUCCAGAAGGUUGACAAGAACAUGAUAAUUUCUGCCAGUUCCAGAUUGUGUGUAAGGGAUCAAACUCAGGACCUUGCGCUUGCAAGGAAGAUGGUGGAAUCACUGAGAUAAAUCCCCAGCCCAACCCUUGGUUUCGUCAACUGCAAAAUUCUACACUAACAGCUGCCGGUUAUUGAACAUGUUUUCACUGGCAAGGAGAUGAGCACUCUGCGUGAACAAUCUUGUUUAAUUGUCAACCACAGAGUCUUGCAGGGAUGCUGGUCAGCCAAAGCAGGGAGGGAGAAGCCUGUGGCAGGCAUUUUCUCCACACCAUCCAUGGAAGCAUUGCUCUCAUGUGCAUCUCUGUUGCUAGCAAAUCACAGUUCCGGAAUGCAUUUCCCCAUCUGUGAAAAUGGGAGCAGUCAGAGGGUUCUGUGAGGAUAGAGGCGGUGAUACUUGGCAUAGAUUUGGAUCGUCCCAAAUCCCCUGUAAAAGCAGAAACAAAAUCCC
ensembl:lncRNA